rnacentral:rRNA from 1 species
UGCAGAAUCCCGUGAACCAUCGAGUCUUUGAAUGCAAGUUGCGCCCAAUACCUUUAGGUUGAGGGCACGUCUGCCUGGGUGUCACAC